CACUUCAGGAAGAGAAACUAUCACCAUCAAAACCACAAAGACAAACCCAAUGAAAGAUGUUCGACACGGUGACGUGCCUGCUCCCACUUCGCCUUCAACUAUGAUUGCAAGUUUCCUGAGGCCUCCCCAGAAGCUGGGCAGAUGCUAGCAUUAUGCUUCCUGUACAGCCUGCAGAACUGGACAUGGAUGAACCUGGAAACCAUCAUUCUCAGCACAAUAUUACAUGUACCUCAUAAAUAUGUACAAUUAGUUUUAAUGAUAUGGAUACAUAUCAUUAAAAAUAAAAAAUCAAAAAACAAAAUAAAAGUCAAAUUCAUGGAACAUGAUAGUAGAAUGGUGGUUUCUAGAAGCCAAGAAGACAGUGAAAUGGGGAGAUGUUGAUCAAAAGAUGGUACAGUCUUUUAGUUACAUGAAUAAGUUUUGGGAAUCUGUAGUGUAGCAUGGUGAUUAUAGUUAAUAAUAUUACAUUGUGUACUUGAAAUUGAUGAGAGAAUAUUUUGUGUCUCACUCCCCUACACACACAAAUGGUAACUAUGUGUGUUGAUGGAUGCAUUAAUUCAAUUAUGAUAAUCAUUACACAAUGAUAAGUUAUACACCUUGAAUAUAUACAAUUUUUAUUUGUCAGUUAUACUUUAAUAAAACAGAGAGUAAAAAAUAAACCUUAUUCUACACCCAGUAACAAUAGUUACAUAUAUGUAAGUGUGAUUACAACUGAGAACAUUUAAGUACUGACCAUCCUGACUAAAUAUUUGAUUAUAUUAAGAAAUGAUUGUGGCUGGGUGUGGUGGCUCACACCUGUAAUCCCAGCACUUUGGGAGGCCAAGGUGGGCAGAUCACAAGUUCAAGAGAUACAUACAAUCCUGGCUCACUUGGUGAAACCCCAUCUCUACUGAAAAUACAAAAAAUUAGCUGAGUGUUGUGGCACACACCUGUAGUCCCAGUUACUCAGGAUGUUGAGGCAGGAGAAUCAUCACUUGAAUCCAGGAGGCAGAGGUGUAGUGAGCCAGGAUCGUGCCACUGCACUCCAACUUGGUGACAGAACAAGACUCCAUCUUAAAAAAAUUAUUGUUAUUUUUAAAUAUGAUAUUGUGGAUAUGUUAAAACUGUAACAUGUUAUAUAUAAACUUGUGUAAAAUGAUCUCAUAUCUGAAAUUUUCUUUAAACAAUCUAAAAGAGGUGAAGUAGGUGGGUUAUAGAUGAAAUACUCUUUGCUGUGAGCUGAUAUCUAUUGAAGUUCCUUGGUAGGCACAUGGUGAUUCAUCACAUAUUUUCUCUAAUUUUGUCUAUAUUGGUCAGUCACGUGUUAUACCAAGUUACAGUUUAUUUGUUUCAGGUGUGUGAGCAGAAUGCCAGUCACCCCUAGUUCCUGAGAGUCAGAAUCUUGAAUAGGAAUUACAGCAUUUUAUCAUUUACUUUACUCCUUGAACCCAUGAGAUAGGCAUUAUUUAUACUAUUUAAGGUUAAGAAAGCUGAAACUUGGAGAAGUAAGUGAUUAGUUCAAGGUCACACAACCCAAAUCUCAGUUCUGGCAUUUGAACCUAGGAAAGCCUGUUGGUCUUUCCCAGUCUCACACAGGGCUACAUGUUGGGCUGUUAAAUGCACAGAGAAAAGUGGAGAUUUAUCAGUCAGGCAUUUAGCUAUCUGUUAGAGGGACACCUGAAUUCAGCCAAGAAAAUUUCAUGAUCUGUAACCUUUACUUCUCUGUAAUGAUUAGAUUCGUGAUUAUUUCCUCAUUCUUUUAUUCCUUCAUGCACCAGUAUUUCUUAAAUUGCUUUCAUAUGCCCAGAACUGCUCUAAGGCUUCAAGAUGAAAGUGUACAAAGCAAAGCAGCCUCCUGCCUCAUGCAGUAUAUUGUCUGGUCCAAUAGGACAAAGGAUGUUUGUAAAAGUAAAUUCUUGUAAAUAAAUACAGGUGGUGAAUGAGAUAAUUAAGGACUUGAAAUAACAGAGUGGAAGAACCUACACUGAACUGUAAUAUCAAGUAAGGUGUCUCACUGAGGGCAUGAGAAAGGGUUGACAUGUGAAAG
rnacentral:lncRNA from 1 species